GAGUGUGUUUGCAUAUUGAUCAGAUCUUCAGUGUGUGAGAGUGUUUAUAGUGCUGUGAGUUUAACACUUCAUCACUGACACACACAACAAUCUUCAUCAACAUGACCUUCAUCAUCAUCUUCAUCUGGACUCUCACAGCGUUUGCUCAAGAGUGUAGAGGACAGAUCACCGUCACUCAGAGUCCCUCAAUAACAGCAGAACAACCAGGAGGAACUGUGAAUAUCAAAUGUAAAACCAGCAGUGAUGUACUCAGGGAUGGUGAUGAGGAUGAUUAUUUAUUCUGGUACUUACAGAAACCUGGAGAAGCUCCUAAACUCCUGAUUCGUUAUGUAAAAAAACUCCAGUCAGGAACUCCAUCUAGAUUCAGUGGCAGUGGAUCUAACAGUGAUUUCACUCUGAGCAUCAGUGGAGUCCAGACUGAAGAUGCUGGACAUUAUUACUGUCAGAGUUAUCACAGUGGUGGUGUGUUCACACAGUGAUAAAGAGUCGUACAAAAACCUCGGUCAGUCAGAGUCACAGUGACUGAACUGAAACUGCAGCUGCUCAAAGGAGGAUCUGAAAUAACAUCGUCACACUUGCAUCUGAAAUAAAACCAUCUAAAUUA